AAAAUUUCAGACUGCUAGAAUGGA
rnacentral:piRNA from 1 species